rnacentral:misc_RNA from 1 species
GGUGAAGAAGGUGACGAGGAGGACGAAGAGGAAGAUGACGAGCUUGGGUUAAUGGGCCUCGGAGAUGAUGAAGAUGAAGGUACAGAAAUUGCCAGAUAUGAGGACUUUUUUGGUUCGAAAAAGGGUACUGGACAGAAGAAAACUGUUAAAUCAUCGGAUCUAUCAGAUGACAUGGGAACCGAUGAUGACAUGAUUGAUGACAAUCAGAAGAAGCGAAGCCUUUCUACCCAUGAAAAGGAGCUUGAAAAACUCCGAUCUACAAUUGAGGAUAUGGAGAAAGCAAACUUGGAAGAGAAGUCCUGGACUAUGCAAGGAGAAGUUACUGCUGCAAAAAGGCCAAAGAAUAGUGCAUUGGAAGUUGAUCUGGA